UCCAACAAUUCUUGAACCGAAAUUAUUAUCCAAGGAUUCACAAACUCUCUUUCGAUGUUUUUACACAAAAUUUCACGUUUCUUUAUCGCAAUUCGAUACGAAAUAAAUAUCGAUAAAUUUCCAACGUUCGAUCGUUUCCACCAACAUAUAUAUCUCAACUACCAUUUCGAAAAGAAAGAUCACAAAAAUCGUCGCACAAUCCGCAUAGUUGCACAAUAACUAUCCCACUGUAGAUCACUGCCUAUCGGAGACACGAGCGCUCGGUUAGGCGAGUGUAGUCACCUGCCGCGGUCGGAUUCGUGACCCGGUUUCCAGCUCCUCCUGAAUCGGCAUUCAUCACUGUCACGAAUCUGUAGCUGAUAAAUCGCCGUUUAAACCGCGACACAGAGAAUCGAGCGAUCGCAUCCGCGACACAUCCCCGGACAAAAAUGCCACGCUCGAGGAAAAGUCACUCUCCCCCUCGAGCGCCGCUCGAUCAUACGUAAAAAAGGUUCGCUCGGGAGGGAGGGGAGAGGGACUUUCUUCUCCGCUCCUCUCGCAAAAAGCUGCCCCAGUUUAUCAUCCGUCGACCCGUUGUUUCUUGGACGACUCGGGUUUUCUCCGUCCACGUUGUACCCACGUACAACGUAGGUACAAAUCCCGGGGAAAAAAGGAGACGCGGCGGUUUCAAGCGGAAAUAAAUCAGCGCGGCGCUUCUGCGAGUACUUUCCCGUUGUGAGGUCGACAGGCGGCGAGGAGCGGUUACUCGCGAGACGUCGGCGAACAAAACGAGUCGGCGCGAGCGCCAAACAUGGUUUAAUUGCCGGUGCAUUGACAUGCGUGCGGCUCGCCCUCGACGCAACCGCGCCUUUUGUCUUUCUGGCUACGGGUGCUGGCUUCGUGGAACUUCCACGUCGGCCACAGGCCAGGAAAGUCCGCGCGGCCGUGUUUCGCAACCUCGCGGAAGCGUGCGUUCCGGGGACUGUGGUGUUGGGAAAGAGAAAGAGAGAGAGGGAGGGAGGGAAAGUCGGGUAUUUUUCAUACAAUGAAAAACGAUGGCCGCAGGCCAGCUGGGCGAGGUGGUGAUUGAUGGCUUCGAGUGGUCGCGUAAUGGAUUGUUUGGUUAUGUUUGAUUGGAAUCGAUUUAUUUGUAAAAUGAGUUUCUUGUAAUUGUGCAAAUUAUUUAUUUUUGAAAUAUUCCUCUUCAAACAGUUUCGAAGUUUGAAUGUUUUCCACUAUUAUUAGUGUUGUUAUGUUGUAUAUGUUUUAACUUGUUCCUUAGGAUAUUUUAUCGUUUAAUUUGAAUGAUGAUCUUGUCUAUUGAUUUUUGUGUAAUUGUGGCUGUCGUGUUUUUAGCUCGUCUUUUUAAAUUAUAUAUUAUUCUGUCUAGAAAGCGUCUAAAGUUUCUCAUGCAUGUAAAAAUCAGUUGGUGAACAAAUUUUAAAAUUAAUUCCUAUUGUUCUCUUAUAUAUUCGUCGUUUAAAUAAAGAUAUUUUUAUAUUUUCAUACGUAAACAUUGUACACUUAAAACAGGCAACGUUCUACAUCUUUUCUAUGGAAAAGAAUUAAUAAAAAAUAGUUUGAUCGAAUAUAUAAAAUCCAAUAUCAUCAAACAUCUCUAAAUAAAAAGGCGCAAUUGUGUUUAAGGAGAAUUUCCAGGAAGCGUUUUAAAAUAAAGCAUCGAGUUUCUCGAAAAGAAAUUGUGCCAUCAAGAGUUCGAGUCCCCCGACCUUCCUGUUCCGCUUAUGUAAUUCCUCUCCGAUCGAGCCAAUUCCUUUUUUUACUCUUACCAGUCCGAUCUUUUUGCUCGUUUGCACCUGCUUCUUCUAUCCCACACACUUGCCGGGUAACAUCGUUCGAGGGGAGAAGGCCUUGAGCGGCCAAUUAAUGUUGCUCGAUCGGUUCGCAGGUUAUACCCAGGGAUACACACCGAUGCGUUUUCGUUUCGGCUACCUGGGGCCUCGGUAUCUCGAAUCCUCGCCACGGCCAGCGCCAGGAAUAACACCACCCCCGGCCUUUCGCCGGCAAAGAUGCCGCGGAUUACGGGAUUCCUGACUUCUUUCGAUCCCCGCGUAGCGUUAUUCUUGCCUUCGAGCAAGGUCUAUCGUGGGAUCGUGAGAAAAACUAGUAAACGCUGAUUCAACGCUCCAUCCGAUUCAUGAGCACCACGUAUAUUGCCAGGAUCUAGCCGUAAAGACCGUUUACGAUAAAAUGACAUAAUUGUGAUAAAUUUGCCUCCAUUUCAGGGCGCCUCGAGAGAUGGACUGUGUUUGUAAUACGAUGAACUGCUUGAUGAUGGCCGAGAACAAAAUUGGUAGACGCAUUAGGAGGAAUUUAUUCGUUUCGAAGGUGUACGGUCAUGCGAAUAGCCUCCCGUUCGUUGUUUAGGGAAGGUGAGGUAAUUCAAUGAGGAUGCAACUUUCUUUACGAUCGAUGGAGUUAAAGGUUUGUUCUAAAAUUUCCUUUCCCCGUAUUAAAUUUCUACAAAUCGUGACAGAAUCACUCUGGAUUGGAAUAAAAUAUAGAAUCGCGUUUAACAUUUAUUUCAAAUUGUACAUUAAUACGUUCUUUCUUAAAGUAGAGAGUUCAAGAACGGUUAAUAAUAAAAUUAAAUUCCAAUAUCAUCCUAAACUGAUAGAUGACUGCUUAAUACGAAUAAAUAGUUUGUCUCUCCACUCUAUCAGGAAUGACAAAUUAGACUUUCAUACGAUCAUUACCAGCCUCUGAAAAGAAACUAAUAUAAACGAAUAAUUCAAAGUGUUCGAAUUGCGGGUAACACCGCCUCAUUCCAACAUAAUAAAUUUUCCAUUUACCAAUAUCAAGACCUACUAAAUCACCGCCAGUCAUCAUCAAUUCACACACACACACACACACACACGCGUGACAUUCAAAUCGAUGGAGCAAAAGUUCAUACGACUCCUGGAUCCGUACAGUUUCGCGCCACGCGAUCUAUACCGAUCACGACAUCGAUCGAACAUACGAGUACAAAGUUGACUACAUCGUAUCGUAUCGAUCCUCUGGAUCUCUGGAUUCCUCAGGGCGAAUAAACACUCGCCAAUUUCGUUGGAACGAGCCUGAAUAAGUUCGGCUGUUUCUGUUCCCAAUGCGCCAGUUUCUCAUGAUGCGCCGUUCCAUAGCUGUCAAGGAACUUUCACGGCCCUGAGAGAACGAACGAACGCGCUCUAACUUGGUCCUUGACCGUUUCUCGCGAUCCCUUUAAUAAAUUAUGCCAACGAGCGAUAUGGAAAGCGAUUGGAACGCGGCCAUUCCUCUCUCUCUCUCUCUCUUCUCGCCGGUUAAUCUGCGUUGCGAUCGAGGCCCGUGAUCGAGAGAUGAAAAAUCGCACAAUCGUCCGCCACCAUCGGGACGCAAUUACGGCCACGAUCAGAUACGCCGCCCAAUCACCCGUUUAGAACGACGAACUUUUUUUCUUCCACGUGAAAUCGACGUGGAAAACGCGAAGGAUAUACGAGAGAGCCGGCAAGGAAACUAUAUGGAUAUUGUUUCUUUCAAUUAUCGAAUCUUUAAGGAACGAGAAACUGUUAAAGUGCUUUUUCUUUUGUUCCAAUUCGUUUCGUAAGAUAUGAUGGAAGGAAUGUUUAAAAAUCUUGAUGUAUAUAAAGCAUUUGCAUACCACUGUUAUUAUAUAUACCAAUUAAUCAGAUUCAAGUAUUAGUUAUAUUCAAUAUUUAAUAUUUAUGUGCUCUAGGUACAAAAUAUUUUCGUGAGAUACUGAUGCAGAAUCUAAUUCCUUUAUUAUUGUACGAAGAAUCGCUACAAUACAAUAAACAAGAAAUACGUAAGUAAUUUUAAAUUCUCACUCUAAUUCUUUUUCGUAUCAUCAACUUUUAAAAAUGUCGUAUAUUUUAAAUUAAUAGAUAUUUCGAGUGUGAAUUUCAAUUGUUUGAUAUAUUUCGAGCGAUUCCGCUAUUAGGAACUAUUAAAAUCUAUCCGUCGAUAGAAUCAAGUUCAACAACAUCGAAGAUCGAACCCCGAAGAUCGUAUCGGAACCUGAUCGAGUUUCACGAGGAAUUCAUCAUGCCCGUGUUCCGACCCGACGAGACGGAAGAUCGAGGCGUUAAGGCCCGUGUCUACGAGCGACUUUAUUAUCUGCGAAACAAUAAAAUCGCCCGAUAAGGAUCUUUGGCGCGCCCUGGUGAAGGCCCUGAAAUAUUUCCUCCGGUCCGAGGCGCGGAUGUCCGAUUGAAAUCGAUUUAUGGGCCAGCGACAGACGAGAUAUCGCUCGGGGCGGGGUCGAAUCGAGACGCAGCGCGCGAGAGUUUCGGAACGUGGGAAGUUCACGAUUAUUUUUCUUUCCCUUUUUUUCUCUCUCUCUCUCUCUCUUUCUUUUUCUUAUUUCUAUCUCCGACUGUUCCUCCUUCACCGUCAGGACAAGGAGGAGAUAUACGAGUCGGGUAGGAAGAUCGGGCGGGUGAGUCACCUAUAAAGGAGUGGUGACUCGCCCCACGAUCGGUGUGAUCGGCGGCUCUCCGAUCUCGUGUUUCGUGUUCUCUCGCCAGUAGAGCCAGACUUGUUAACCGUCAAAACGAAUGACGUCCCGACGUUUUACAAGAAGUGCACGAGGUCUCUCUUCUUCCACGGACGGUGCGAGCCGAUCGCUUCGUAGACGCGGCUCGAUCGCACGUGUUUAGAGAAUCGGUUCCGGUCACCAGAUGAGGAAUUAGUAUUUAGCAGAGAGGGAAAAUUUGAUAAAAGUAUAAUAAAAUUUAAUAUACGAUGAACGAUAUUUCGAAAACGUGUUUGAUAUAUCUCUUUCUCUCUUUUUGUAAUAUAUACAUUGAGAAAUAUAUGUGUAAAGAGAGCAUUUAAAAUGCAUUAAAAGUAUUCAAGAGAUAUCUAAUCUGAAAAAAGAAAAAGGAAUCAAGGAUAUCAAUCGUGUAAUAAUAAUAAAAUUCAGAUUGUCUACAAUUAAUGAAUAAAUACGAAGAUUCAGAGGUAUGAAUUUCUGAGUGAUCUAAAACAUGGAUUCGUUUCAUUAGACUAUUACACGUCCCUGAACCAUGGUUCGCACCCGCUGCCGGGCGUCAAACGUUUAGCAAGCGAUCGCGUGAGGAUAAUGGCCCGUAGCCCAGUUAGACGGCCAUGGAAAACGAAACGGGAUGAGUCGUGUGAACCGAUCCCCGUCCGAUUAAGUAAACCUCAUAGUGACAUUUAACCAGUAUCUGUCUCUAGCUUCCAGGUCAUCGUCAGACCCGAGACACGGAGGACGCGAUUGCGAUCGAUCGUUUCCCCUCGCUUCUUCCGACCGUACAGCUCCGCACUCAAGCGUUAAUCGUACUUGAAUGUCACGAGAAUUAUAUUACUCUCGCGUCUGUCGAUAAAGAAUCACGAGGGGAUAAUGACCGAGUGAAGUGACGGGGCACCAAGGCUUCGAAGCUUGUUACGAGGAAUUUAUAUAAUUACCCUAAGAAAAGGCGCAGGUGGUAAAGCGACUUAUGAAAUGAAAUUGCAAAAUUCCUCGGCCAAUUCAUUUUUCAAACGUUCUUCCCUACCUCCAAACAUCAUCAAACGAGACGAUCCCCAGCCGUGCUUCGCAAUUCUUGCUACUCACGUUACAAAGUUGCCGGGCUAGAGGAGAGGGCGAGAGGCGGGACGGGAGGGGAACGCGUUUCGCGUGUCUAAAACACCGACUUUAUUUCUCACGACUUUGCCGGUCGAGGGUGAUGGUCGAGAGCGCGCGCGAGGCCGGCAAUUUUCCCGCGAGAAAUCCGGUAAAUCGCGCCGGUAACCCGGCGCCGAUGCGGCCGAUCUUCGCCCGAUACCUUUGAGCGUGUACCGGUAGUGGGUGCAGAGAUGGGUGGACACGGCGAGGCGCGAUUAGCCGGCCCCGAUACGGCUAUCUGCGGGGCACAGGGGAUCGGUUGCGCAGAGUUUCGCGCGCCUCGAAUUCUUCCAGGUUUCGCGCCUCUUAUUCUCAGCUCCUCCGCGCUGCUUCCGAUUCGAAGCGGCAGAUACGGCCGCCGGGGUUGGCGAGAGAGAAAAAAAAAAAUCGCCUCGAUUCGCCCGUAAAAAUCGGCCGGGUCGAAUGCGCGCGCAGCGAUAGAGCGCGAGCUCUAGCGGUUAAUUAACACCGGACGGUGCGCGCAUGCGCCUCGGCGACCGCAUCGGCCAAGAUCGCGAGAUGCGAUAGCGGUUGGAACGGGUCGCGGGGAUCCUCUCCCCCUUUCUGCGCUUUCGAGCCGUUUCUUCCCCUUUCCGCGCGUUUCACGCGCUUGUUUUUUUUUUUUCUUUCUUUCUUUUCCCUCUUCGCCUUGGAGCCGCCCGAUCUCGAGCCGGCACCGUCCCUUGCAUCGAUAAAUUUCGGAAUUGGCGCCUCCGUCGACCCGGGCCCACCUAAUUAAGCGGUUCGCCCCGUAAUUACAGCCAAUUAACGUCAAACUCGGCCGGCGAGACCGCUAUCGCGCGAAGAUUGCGCGCCCUUACGGCCACGUUAACGUGGUGUAUCGAUGACGGAGGCUAAAGCACGCGACCCUCCUCGUCAUUUUUGCUACACGGAAACCGGCGAGGUGUUGCUUGACCGUGCGAUAAAGGAUCUGAAAAGAGAGAGAGAGGUGAGAAGCAAGAGUGUUGGGGAUGUGGCCUUUAGAACAUGAUUUAAGACGAUGAUAAAGAUUGAUAAUAAAUAUUUCGGGGCGGAAUUGAUGGUUGAUGCUCUCUUGGCUGCUCGCAGUCACAAUGUUGCGGGGUUGGUACACAGUGGGUAUCGGAUAUCGUUCCAUCAAUUUCAGCUCGAAACAUUUAUCGAGCUUUAUCAGGGGUUUGAAUCGUGUCAAGCGAGCUGCCUCCGAGGCGGACAUCCUAUCGUUAUCUAUCGAUCGAUCGAAGUAAUAUCGGAUCGUUUCCUCGGAUAAUUUUCUUUUUCCAUAAAUUUAUUUGUUAGAGAAACACUUUGGGAUCAAUUUUCACGGUUGAUUCAAUCUCGUGUCAGGGUAAUCCAAACUGCAACAACCGUUCAAUUUGUCAACGCUCCGUGUUCCGUCCGCCAAUGGACGGAAUCCGAGGAAUCAUUCCCCGCCAAACUUUAAACAGGGACAUUAGCAUCGGAGCGCGUUUCGAGGCGCGCUCGAGAGAAUCACUUAGACCCCUAAUGAGCCGAGUGAGCGUGCACACACCGCUCGCUCGGUGGAAAAGGUUAAAAUCCAUCAGCGAGCUCGCACCUCGUAGUACCCGGAGGCCUCAAUUAAACGAGUUAAAUCCCCGAGAGAUCUCGCUACGCAAGAAGCUCGAGCCAGCGUGACGAGAGUCGGUACACCGGCCGCGCUCGAUUAUUCAGACACCCUAAUGAACCGCGGGACGAUUUCGACGGGCGUUCUCAGCCGUGGCCUUAAUAUCGGUCCUCCCGACCAGCAGUACGUUACAUAAGCCGCGCUUCUCUCACACCGACAGCCCACGAACACGUCCGUGUACGCGUGCACGUGUGCGCACGCCAAGACGUGACCACGAUGAGCACGGUGCUGAGACCGUGCUCGUGAGCCGUGGGCAGGCGCAUGCCUCAGAAAAAUCCCAUUAAUUGCUUCUAUGGUGAUAAAUUUCCCCCUGGCGGUGCACGAUUUCCCCUCCUUUCCCCCUCUUCUUCCUCCACCCGUCUCGUUCCUCCAUCCUCCCCCCUUCUCGAUCGUCGAGAGGUAGCUUCUUCUCUCCCCGGAGACCGGGGGACUCGCCUCUCGAGAGACCGUAUCGGCCCGUCUAUGUUAAUUUUCAGUUUAAUAAGGUACACCAGGAAGUGACACCGGGGCCUGUUGCCGCGUCGUCGGGGAACGCGGCAGGCGAAUGCCAGGUGAAAAUGUCGCGGCGGGAGUGACAUUUCAAUUAAUGUGUAGCUGUUGCCGCGCGCGUGGGAAGGGACACGGUGGCGCUUGUGUGUGUGUGUGUGUGUGUGUGUGUGUGCUUCUUCUUUCACGGGGACGGUGGUUGCAGGUGCAGGGAAAAAUUGGAGGAUCGCGGGCUUGGGUGCAGGUUAGAUCGCGCAGAACUUAGAUGGAUGAUCGUAGGUUUGGUGAGAAUAUCGCUUCAUUGAAUUGGAUUAAUGAAUAAUAAAGGAUUAUUUUUCGAAUCCUUUCAGUAUUUUUUCCACGUUUUAGAUUUUUAUAAUGUAGUUUUUUCAAAAUUCUAAGAUUAAUUUUGAGCAUAGAAUAUUCUUAAUAAAAUUAAUUUUAAUACAAAGGAAAUGAAAACUUUUAAACGAGAAUGUACUUUUUAGCGUGAUUUAAAAUCUUGAUAAAAGGAAAAUACGCGUGUUUCACGGUCAUCUAAUCGAUUUUAUCUUAUGCCCAGAAUUGUAAGUGAUUCCUCUUACGUAGAAAUUCUACGUAUGACACUUAAUCCGGUUAGGAUAGAACCAGUUUUCGGUACCCAGAACACUUUUCGAAAUUUUUAUUUCGCUAGUUCUCAAUACUCAUCGCUUUCUCGGAAAUGUAAUGAUUCAUUAACCAGUUUGUUUUCACGCAAUAUCCGUACAUCCUCGACGUUCAAUUUUAAUAUUCAACGAUAUAUAAUAAAAAAAAACUAUAGAAGAAACUUAUGGGAUCUAGAAUUCUCCUUCAUUUAUUAUAAAAAAAAUUGAUUGCUCAAGAAAAUUCGCAUUUCGUGGAAAUCAAAGCGCGAUCAAAUACCUGUAAAAAAACACCUUGUUUCCGGGAAUAAAAUUCUAAAUUGCAUUCGCGUCGAUAUUUAUCAAAUUUCUCCACACACAAUUUUUACUUACUGCACGAAUAAAUCUCAAAUCUCCUCCGAAACUCGUUCAAAGGGGCAAAAACUCCCCUCAGCCCCUCCCCUUCAGCAAAGCAGAAGCAAACGUUUCGUAUUCAAUUUUCAAUUUGCGGCAGCUAAGAAUUGCGCCGCGCUCCCUCCGCCGUAAUAAUAUCUGUGUCGCUCGAUAAUAAAUGGCAAGCGCCAUCGCGUUCGUCGCGCAUUCGAGCACGUCAAAUGAUUAUAAGAGCGGGACGAGGGGGGGAGGGGGAGAAGAAAAGUCCAGAUGAAUCAUCGUGUAUACCGUGGAAUGCCCUCCUUCCUUUUUGCGCUCCUCCGUGCCUUCUUUCGAGAGUGCUCGAGAGCACGCUCGAACACGAGCGUGGUAAUGAGCGACGACGCAGGCGAUAACUAUUAACCAGAUUGUUCGGUUAACGACGAAGGCGAUGAGAAGCGUACGCGAAUCACGUAGAUGGAAACGAGGCGCUUUCGUUUAUCAAGGACGCCGACGAAACUCGCUCGCGGGAGUUGCAAUUCUAAUCGGUUCGUACACCGGGCCGAAUAAAGGAUAAAAUUACCGUCUCCCUGCAUCCGGCAACCGGAGAGACGCUUCAUUUAGUAACCGUGAAUGGGAGCGUCGAGGCAACGGGGAAACAUUACGCCUUCUUCAAGACGUUACGUCUGACUUCAUCUUGUACGCUACUACUGUUUUUCUCGUUAAGCAAGUCGAGGGAUCGAGGGAGGGGAGGAGGGACAGGAUAAAAUAUCCCGCGUUGCGCAAGAUUUGACGAGGGUUUAUUAUCGUUAUGAGUGCGCGUUCUUAGGUUUGAAAUGUCAGAUACCAUCCCAUCCGGGCCAGCCUCUAGAAACUGGAUCAAGGCCAACUCUUACACAAAUCUCCCAUCGAAAUUCACUAAACCGUCCCUCCGCUUUCUCCUUACGGCUCACCAUGAAAACCCAUCACCAAAGGAGGAAGGGAGAUUCCACGAAGUGGCAAAGAUAGAAACGAGUCCCCCGUCCAGUUUAAACGAUCUCUUAAUUACCCGGACACGGUUGAAAACGAUCUCGCGGCCAUCUUUUACGGUCGACACCCGUGUACCUCGUAGACGAGAGGAGAAACAAGUGGACAGGGGUCCAAUUUCGGCGAGGGAACAAUUACAAGGAGGACGUCGCCGGGACCAAUUGGCCCCCUUUUCUUCCUUCCUUUAUUUUCUCUGCCCUCUCUGCGUUCGAACCAUCAACGCUCAUCAUCUUAUCGUGAUCAUCGACACGAUCAAGGUAUACACAUCUCUCGUGUGACGCAAGGCCAAGAGGUUUCGUUUCGAGGUUUCGGCCCAGCUUUCCAUCUCGACGCUUCUUCGCCCCGGAGGCGUUCUAUCGGCCCGUCACGGUUCUCACGAUCUCGAUCGCGCCGAAAAUGGCGAGCGCUGGACCCACGAAAAAAAUCAAUUAAUCUCAAUCGAGGCGACCGUGCGCGCGCGGAAGGGUAAUUUCCAAUUUGUCGCGGCCCCGAAACCACGAGCGAGGCCCCCGGGUGUGAGAAACGAAGGGUGGGGAGGAAGGAGCCUCCAGUGAUCCCGCGUGACCGGAGAAAGUAUCUUCUCUCCCGGAUAAGGGCAUCGCGAGCCCGCUGGUGACGAACGAUUUCGGAUGAAUAACUUUGGUGUUGAGUGUCCCUCGAAGAAUUAAGAAGGGAGAAGAGUUUGGAAUGAGUCUUCUUCGAAGAAUUAAGAAGGGAGAAGAGUUUGGAAUGAGUCUUCUUCGAAGAAUUAAGAAGGGAGAAGAGUUUGGAAUGAGUCUUCUUCGAAGAAUUAAGAAGGAAGAAGAGUUUGGAAUGAGUCUUCUUCGAAGAAUUAAGAAGGGAGAAGAGUUUGGAAUGAGUCUUCUUCGAAGAAUUAAGAAGGGAGAAGAGUUUGGAAUGAGUCUUCUUCGAAGAAUUAAGAAGGAAGAAGAGUUUGGAAUGAGUCUUCUUCGAAGAAUUAAGAAGGCAGAAGAGUUUGGAAUGAGUCUUCUUCGAAGAAUUAAGAAGAGAGAAGAGUUUGGAAUGAGUCUUCUUCGAAGAAUUAAGAAGGCAGAAGAGUUUGGAAUGAGUCUUCUUCGAAGAAUUAAGAAGAGAGAAGAGUUUGGAUUAAAUCUUUUUCGAAGAUUUGAAUUCUUUUUUUAUAUUAUUGUAA